CUACAAAUUUCUAUGGGUGAUGAAAAAAAAGGGCAAGUACCGAAAAGAAGAGGCAAGUGCUUUGUUGGGGGAAAAAAAAUUAUUGACUUAAAGAAGCUAGCAUCGUAUCUCACGAUGAUGACUAGAUUGGGUCAACUCACAAUCGAAAUCCACGAGCAUUAUAUGCCUAUUCACUUCAAGUAAAUUUAUGACUUCAUUUCUAACGUCUCAAGUUUUUGAAAUUAUGAUUAGUGCCGACUAUCAAACAAUUUAUACAUUCUAGAGCUAAAGCAUACAUCUU
rnacentral:lncRNA from 1 species